rnacentral:rRNA from 1 species
CACGUAGGGCGCAAGCGUUGUCCGGAAUUAUUGGGCGUAAAGAGCUCGUAGGCGGACUGUUGCGUCCGCUGUGAAAAGCUGGGGCUUAACCCUGGCCUUGCAGUGGAUACGGGCAGACUAGAGGUAGGUAGGGGAGAAUGGAAUUCUCGGUGUAGCGGUGAAAUGCGUAGAUAUCGAGAGGAACACCUGCGGCGAAGGCGGGUAGCUGGGCCGACACUGACGCUGAGGCGCGAAAGCCAGGGGAGCGAACGGG